rnacentral:rRNA from 1 species
CCUAGUAACGGCGAGUGAAGCGGCAACAGCUCAAAUUUGAAAUCUGGCCUUCUGGUCCGAAUUGUAAUUUGUAGAGGAUGACUUUGGUUAGGUACCUUCCGAGUUCCUUGGAACAGGACGCCUUAGAGGGUGAGAGCCCCGUACGGUUGGAUGCCGAUCCUUUGUAAGUCUCCUUCGACGAGUCGAGUAGUUUGGGAAUGCUGCUCUAAAUGGGAGGUAAAUUUCUUCUAAAGCUAAAUACCGGCCAGAGACCGAUAGCGCACAAGUAGAGUGAUCGAAAGAUGAAAAGCACUUUGAAAAGAGGGUUAAAUAGUACGUGAAAUUGUUGAAAGGGAAGGGUUUAUGACCAGACCUUUGCGUUGGGAAUCAUCCGGUGUUCUCACCGGUGCACUUCCCUUCGUUGAGGCCAGCAUCAGUUCUAGUUGGGGGAUAAAGACAUUAGGAAUGUGAUUCCUCCGGGAAUGUUAUAGCCUUUUGUGUAAUACCCUGACCGGGACUGAGGACCGCGCUUCGGCUAGGAUGCUGGCAUAAUGGUCAUCAGCCACCCGUCUUGAAACACGGACCAAGGAGUCGAACAUUUAUGCGAGUGUUUGGGUGUUAAACCCUCACGCGUAAUGAAAGUGAACGGAGGUGAGAGCCCUUACGGGUGCAUCAUCGACCGAUCCUGAUGUCUUCGGAUGGAUUUGAGUAAGAGCAUAACUGUUCGGACCCGAAAGAUGGUGAACUAUGCGUGGAUAGGGUGAAGCCAGAGGAAACUCUGGUGGAGGCUCGCAGCGGUUCUGACGUGCAAAUCGAUCGUCAAAUCUG